rnacentral:rRNA from 1 species
AUUACCGCGGCUGCUGGCAGUAGUUAGCCGGAGCUUCCUCCUUGGGUACCGUCAUUUUUUUCGUCCCCAAGGACAGAGGUUUACAAUCCGAAGACAUUCUUCCCUCACGCGGCGUUGCUGGGUCAGGCUUGCGCCCAUUGCCCAAUAUUCCCCACUGCUGCCUCCCGUAGG